UGUUUCUAGAUGGGUUGUAGCUGGCUCUUUUAGAGCAUGUGCACGCCUGUUUAGACUUCAUCUUCUUCCACCUGUGCACCUAUUGUAGUCUUUGGUUGGGUAUCGAGGAAGUGGUUAGCCUAUCAGCACUUGCUGGAUGUGAGGACUUGCACUGUGAAAGCUCUGCUGUCCUUUACUUGACCACGGAGUCGUUUUCUCACCAGAGUCUAUGUUCAUUCAUUAUACUCUGUCGAAUGUCAUUGAAUGUAUUUUACAUGGGCUUGUAUGCCUAUGAAAAUUAUAAUACAACUUUCAGCAACGGAUCUCUUGGCUCUCGCAUCGAUGAAGAACGCAGCGAAAUGCGAUAAGUAAUGUGAAUUGCAGAAUUCAGUGAAUCAUCGAAUCUUUGAACGCAUCUUGCGCUCCUUGGUAUUCCGAGGAGCAUGCCUGUUUGAGUGUCAUUAAAUUCUCAACUCUCUUGUACUGUUUUGUAAAAGAGAGCUUGGAUUGUGGAGGUUUGCUGGCCACUUGUUUGAGGUCAGCUCCUCUGAAAUGCAUUAGCGGAACCGUUUGCGAUCUGCCACAAGUGUGAUAAAUUAUCUACACUGGCGAGGCAAUUGCUCUCUGUGUUGUUCAGCUUCUAAUUGUCUCAAUCUGUCGAGACAACUUCUUGAAUGCUUGACCUCAAAUCAGGUAGGACUACCCGCUGAACUUAA
rnacentral:rRNA from 1 species